rnacentral:rRNA from 1 species
GAUGAACGCUGGCGGCGUGCCUAAUACAUGCAAGUCGAGCGAACGGACGAGAAGCUUGCUUCUCUGAUGUUGGCGGCGGACGGGUGAGUAACACGUGGAUAACCUACCUAUAAGACUGGGAUAACUUCGGGAAACCGGAGCUAAUACCGGAUAAUAUUUUGAACCGCAUGGUUCAAAAGUGAAAGACGGUCUUGCUGUCACUUAUAGAUGGAUCCGCGCUGCAUUAGCUAGUUGGUAAGGUAACGGCUUACCAAGGCAACGAUGCAUAGCCGACCUGAGAGGGUGAUCGGCCACACUGGAACUGAGACACGGUCCAGACUCCUACGGGAGGCAGCAGUAGGGAAUCUUCCGCAAUGGGCGAAAGCCUGACGGAGCAACGCCGCGUGAGUGAUGAAGGUCUUCGGAUCGUAAAACUCUGUUAUUAGGGAAGAACAUAUGUGUAAGUAACUGUGCACAUCUUGACGGUACCUAAUCAGAAAGCCACGGCUAACUACGUGCCAGCAGCCGCGGUAAUACGUAGGUGGCAAGCGUUAUCCGGAAUUAUUGGGCGUAAAGCGCGCGUAGGCGGUUUUUUAAGUCUGAUGUGAAAGCCCACGGCUCAACCGUGGAGGGUCAUUGGAAACUGGAAAACUUGAGUGCAGAAGAGGAAAGUGGAAUUCCAUGUGUAGCGGUGAAAUGCGCAGAGAUAUGGAGGAACACCAGUGGCGAAGGCGACUUUCUGGUCUGUAACUGACGCUGAUGUGCGAAAGCGUGGGGAUCAAACAGGAUUAGAUACCCUGGUAGUCCACGCCGUAAACGAUGAGUGCUAAGUGUUAGGGGGUUUCCGCCCCUUAGUGCUGCAGCUAACGCAUUAAGCACUCCGCCUGGGGAGUACGACCGCAAGGUUGAAACUCAAAGGAAUUGACGGGGACCCGCACAAGCGGUGGAGCAUGUGGUUUAAUUCGAAGCAACGCGAAGAACCUUACCAAAUCUUGACAUCCUUUGACAACUCUAGAGAUAGAGCCUUCCCCUUCGGGGGACAAAGUGACAGGUGGUGCAUGGUUGUCGUCAGCUCGUGUCGUGAGAUGUUGGGUUAAGUCCCGCAACGAGCGCAACCCUUAAGCUUAGUUGCCAUCAUUAAGUUGGGCACUCUAAGUUGACUGCCGGUGACAAACCGGAGGAAGGUGGGGAUGACGUCAAAUCAUCAUGCCCCUUAUGAUUUGGGCUACACACGUGCUACAAUGGACAAUACAGAGGGCAGCGAAACCGCGAGGUCAAGCAAAUCCCAUAAAGUUGUUCUCAGUUCGGAUUGUAGUCUGCAACUCGACUACAUGAAGCUGGAAUCGCUAGUAAUCGUAGAUCAGCAUGCUACGGUGAAUACGUUCCCGGGUCU